GACGUAGGGAGCGAGCGUUGUCCGGAUUCAUUGGGCGUAAAGAGCGCGCAGGCGGUUUGGUAAGUCGGAUGUGAAAUCCCGGGGCUCAACCCCGGACCUGCAUCCGAUACUGCCCGACUAGAGGUAGGUAGGGGAGAUCGGAAUUCCUGGUGUAGCGGUGAAAUGCGCAGAUAUCAGGAGGAACACCGGUGGCGAAGGCGGAUCUCUGGGCCUUACCUGACGCUCAGGCGCGAAAGCUAGGGGAGCGAACAGG
rnacentral:rRNA from 2 species